CAGGAUGAACGCUGGCGGCGUGCUUAACACAUGCAAGUCGAACGGGCUUAGAUCGGAAGCUUGCUUUGAUUAAGUAGUGGCGGACGGGUGAGUAACGCGUGGGUAACCUGCCUCGUACAGGGGGAUAGCAGCUGGAAACGGCUGGUAAAACCGCAUAAGCGCACAACUUCGCAUGAAGGAGUGUGAAAAUAUUUAUAGGUACGAGAUGGGCCCGCGUCUGAUUAGCCAGUUGGCAGGGUAACGGCCUACCAAAGCGACGAUCAGUAGCCGGCCUGAGAGGGCGGACGGCCACAUUGGGACUGAGACACGGCCCAAACUCCUACGGGAGGCAGCAGUGGGGGAUAUUGCACAAUGGGCGAAAGCCUGAUGCAGCGACGCCGCGUGAGUGAAGAAGUAUUUCGGUAUGUAAAGCUCUAUCAGCAGGGAAGAAAGGCCUCGAAAGAGGAGAUGACGGUACCUGAGUAAGAACGCCCCGGCUAACUACGUGCCAGCCGCCGC
rnacentral:rRNA from 1 species